UGCAAGUCGAAGCGAACAGACGAAGGAAGCUUGCUCCCUCUGACGUUAGCGGCGGACGGGUGAAGUAACACGUGGAUAACCUACCUAUAAGACUGGGAUAACUUCGGGAAACCGGAGCUAAUACCGGAUAAUAUAUUGAACCGCAUGGUUCAAUAGUGAAAGACGGUUUUGCUGUCACUUAUAGAUGGAUCCGCGCCGCAUUAGCUAGUUGGUAAGGUAACGGCUUACCAAGGCAACGAUGCGUAGCCGACCUGAGAGGGUGAUCGGCCACACUGGAACUGAGACACGGUCCAGACUCCUACGGGAGGCAGCAGUAGGGAAUCUUCCGCAAUGGGCGAAAGCCUGACGGAGCAACGCCGCGUGAGUGAUGAAGGUCUUCGGAUCGUAAAACUCUGUUAUUAGGGAAGAACAAAUGUGUAAGUAACUAUGCACNUCUUGACGGUACCUAAUCAGAAAGCCACGGCUAACUACGUGCCAGCAGCCGCGGUAAUACGUAGGUGGCAAGCGUUAUCCGGAAUUAUUGGGCGUAAAGCGCGCGUAGGCGGUUUUUUAAGUCUGAUGUGAAAGCCCACGGCUCAACCGUGGAGGGUCAUUGGAAACUGGAAAACUUGAGUGCAGAAGAGGAAAGUGGAA
rnacentral:rRNA from 1 species